rfam:Triticum urartu cultivar G1812 contig1192713, whole genome shotgun sequence.
UAUCUACUUCCUCCGUUCCAAAUUACUCGCCAGAGAAAUGGAUGUAUCUAGAACUAAAAUACAUCUAGAUACAUCCAUACCUGUGACAAGUAAUUCGGAAUGGAGAGAGUAUAUC